ensembl:lncRNA
AAGAGAUCAAAGCUAAAAUUCUCGAGUUGGUUUGUGCGUAAAUCCCGUUUUGCGUGAGUCUGCAUGCGCGCAAACGGAGUGCGUUUUCCAGCUUAGGUCUGUUCUGGGUUGCGCGCUCGGAUCUGAAGGAAAAAGUCUAAAUGGGUCUCUGAUGAGUGAAAUCUUGAAGUUGAGUGAGUUAUGAAGGGGAAAGCGCGCGAAAUCGGCGCUGCUUUUGGAGUCUCCAUGGCUCAGUCCAAGAAACAACCACAGUGCUCCGCGUCUUCUGCUGCUUUUCAUCGAGCCCAGGCUCAGCGGAACGUUUUAAAGAUCAUUUUUCUGAGUAAACCUUGUGUUGGUUGCACUUGACGCGCGUGCAUUUGUUUGCAGUUACUGGCUUGUGAAAGCAGUGACCCGCGCGUGAUGUAACAAAUCGGUUGCAAUAUUUUCUAGAUAACGCGCAGAAACGGGCUAGAUUGUCCUACCUGCUCUCAGUCGCUCCUGGCGCCCGCGGGGUCCCUGCUGUCCGUUUGGUCGCGCAGCUGGACGUCUGAGGACAUGAUGCUGGACGCUCGCAUCUCUUCUCGUGGGUGAACGCGAAAUGAGGAGUGGAAACAAGGAGCGGGAGAGCAGGAGGAGGAGGAGGGAGGGGAGGAGACGCAGGAGGUCCCUUCACAUCAUAAACACACUUCGGUUUACAGGCGUCUAGGCUUCAUCAUUAUCGCGCAGUUGACAGUGUUUACGCGCAAAUGCGUUAUGAUGCGUCAGGCUCGGUCUUUUAUAGUCGGGAAAUGGGCUUUAACUGGAUCAGAUGCAUGUGACGUUCAGAUCCCCGGGGAGACGACACGCAAGCCUGCGGACAAUGCUUGCGGUCCAUCAAUGGGUCUCUGGGGUCUCUGGGAGUCUCUGACGUGCUCAAGUGCAGGUUCUCCGUGUGAUUGACAGCGGAGCGGAGCUGAUGGAGAGAGUCUCAGGAAGCCGAGCAGCGCUGAACUUUACACAAAUGAGAGGAGAGCGGGACGUGACGUCUGCCAAAAUCUGCUGAUGCUGCAGCACAAACCCUGCAGAUAAGUUUCUAUCCGUCUGAGAGUUAUAAACAGAGUUUCUGCUGUUUGACCUGCGAGGAACUGAAUCAUAUGCAGCUUUAAUCUGCGUUUUACAUUCACUCCACAGAUUGCGUCCCGAGGCAACUAGGAAUUACACAAGCUUCAGUCUGCAACAUUUAAUCGCAACAUAUAAUCACUGCAGUUAAUAGAGUUCACCGUCAACUAACUGCAUGUUUCUUACUGUACAUUUCUGUCAUAGUCACCACCAAAAACAUAUAAUCGUAUUUGCACACCUCAUAUUUUAACAUCUUUGAAAUGCUAUUAUAGUUUUUGUUCAUAUUUUGAAUCAGGGUUUUUAUAGUUUAACUAAAACUCAAACCAUAAAAAACAUUUACGUUACUUUUUUAUUUUUGUAUUUAUUUUAGCUAGUGGUCAAGGCGACAUUUCUCAUGUUUGUUUAGUUUAGCUGCAUGUACUAAAAUAACUAACACUAAAACUGAAAUAAAAACUAUAUAGACAAAAAAAAUGUAAAUAAA